AUGCUACAAUUGGGAAUGGUCGGGAUAGCUCA
rnacentral:tRNA from 1 species